CAAUAGCGUAUAUUAAAGUUGUUGCAGUUAAAAAGCUCGUAGUUGAAUUUCUGUACAUUCCCGGUGCCGGCUCUUGUCGAACCGUGGAGUGUGCAUCCGCUUACAAACUUAGCCCGGUCUUCAUUGGUCGACUAAGGGAGUAGGCCCUUUACUUUGAAAAAAUUAGAGUGUUUCAAGCAGGCAAUGGCUCGAAUACAUUAGCAUGGAAUAAUGGAAUAGGACUAGCGUCCAUUUGGUUGGUUAUUGGACAUUAGUAAUGAUUAACAGGGACAGUUGGGGGCAUUAGUGCUUAACAGUCAGUGGUGAAAUACUUGGAUUUGUUAAAGACUAACUUAUGCGAAAGCAUUUGCCAAGGAUGUUUUCAUUAA
rnacentral:rRNA from 1 species